UCUGAAACCCAAGAAAGAAACACAUUUAAUUCAAUUCAACAUUAGAUAUCGUUUUAUCCGUAAGGCGUUAUUAUGCCGGAAAGUGGAAACGAUUCAACCAUGGUACCUUAUUUAUUGUUUACCGACUACAAUGGAUUGGCAGGCAGCGUCGCGAAAACGUUGUGGUCUUUAGCUGUCAAAGAACUCAUUUUAAGGGAGAGCAACUCUUAAGCGCUGAUGAUAAAGAAAAGCCCUCAGCUUUCGGCCCAACUUGUGAGUGCUGUGGUCUCUUGUAGAGAGCCUAAACUUCGCGGUACUCCAAGAAAGGAGAAAAUAUUGUCUAAGCCAAGUUGAUUAAAAUUGAAGUUUCAUGACUGACGCGUAAAAUAUAAACUAGAAAUAUAUACUGAUUCCCUUGUCGAAAUCCCUUUCCAACUAAAGAUAAGAUGAAAGGGAGAGAGGUUAAA